AGCUGAUGUUGUCUUCAUGGAUUUAUGGUGCUCGCAGGGAUGUGAAUAUCCAGGCUCACCUCAGCUGUAGGGAAACCAGCAUAAACAAUACAGACUUCCAAUCUACAGAAUGCCUGGCCGAGGCAGCAAGAUCUAUUUGAAUAACAGCAGUUGUGUCCUGUGGUGAGAGUAAGUUAUUCCCUGCUGGGUCUAAAUUAUUCAGAAGCAGAGACACCUACUUAAGUGGACGUUUCUAAAGACCACAAAACCGAUAGAGGGAAAAGAAAAAAGAGGGGGCAGAAGAGCUCCAUCGCCUCUACAGGGGGAAGAAAAACUAUGCUUCAUCUUUAGGACCCCUCUCCUCUGGAAUAUGAUUCAUGUCGUCCACCACGGAAUAGUCUGUUUUGCCUUCCAUUGUUCUCCUAAAUGAUGGAGUUAGAUGAUAAAGCAUUUCAUCUGAGGAUGCAAAACAGUGACAGGAGGCAGCAAUUUUGAACCUAUACGUCUUCGCUGGCCCUAGUCAAAAGAUACAGCGUCCCAUUAUAAAAAAAAGUUUCUUGCCCAGGUCUUCUGGGGCCUAUUAACAAAGAAGAUACAUCUCUGGCCUCAGCACACUCCUCCACUUUGAAGGUCUCAUGCUAGAAAGGAGUGAAGUCUAACAUCUCUGAAAAACUGAAAUAGAAGUCUUCUCCAGUAUCAGACAUUAUGACCGCCAUCCACCUACUGAUAUCUGUCUAUCACGGCAGAUAUUUGGCAUCUUGACAAAAAAUUGUAGCACCAAAUGUGAAUAGGGGAGAUGGCAAGAUAUGAUGCUCCCUUUAGCUGAAGAUUGAAAAGAAGUAGUGAUGAUUGCAGGGAACUAUAUUCAAUACCUUGCAAUGGCUGUAAUGGCUUAUAAUGAAAAAGAAUAUGAAAAGGAAUAUAUACAUACAUACAACUGAAUCACUAUGCUGCACACCAGAAAUUAAUACAACAUUGUAAACCAACUAUACUUCAAUAAAAAAGUAGUGAUGAUUGAAGUAAUUGAGAAGCAUCAUAUUUUUAUUUUCAGAAUGAUUAAAAGUAAGUGCUUUGACCAAAAUCCGAAGAUGUGUGCCUGCCCAGUAGAAAGAGCCACUCCAUUCAGUCAGUAACCAGUAAUCAAUAUUAACGCACAGUAAAGUACCAUUGCUGAGACAGACUCAUGCAGGUAUGAAAAUUAAUCAAAAAUGAAUGAAGUUAUUACCAACAAACAAGCAAAGCAGAUUCAAUGAUCAGCAAAAUUCAAUGAGGUGAAAAAAAGAGUAUCUUGGAAACAGCACAAUUUCAACUGCUUCUCUUUCUCCUACUAAUCCCUUCUUGAAUUGCUAUACAUUUGUAGCUUCCUGGAUCGCCUGAGUCCUUCUGAACCUGCCUUGGAAUUUUAAGCUAUCUUUAGUACCUGUUUCAGACUAACACACUAUUCCUGUCCUGACAAUGACACAUUCGUGUGUAUUUUACUAGCCUCAAUCAUCACCCCUUUAACUACAUAAAUAAGUUACGCCCAUUCCAAACGAUCCAUACAAAUUCAUGCUCAACAGAGAACAAGUUAGCAGGGGAAGAAACAUGGAAAAAGACAUUUCAGACAAGGGGAACAGCAUGAGUAGAGGCAUAAAGCACAAAAUACCAUGCUCUGUGCAGAGAACUGUAAUCAUUGCUGGAAGGGAAAGUGCAAGUUGAAAUUUAUCAAGGGAAGGGCACUCUUCACUGCUUUCAGUUAUGUGCCAUGUGAUCAAAGUGCAGAUUACACAAAUGUUUUAAGGCAAAUGUAAGUCAGUGAGUCCAUGCUUGUCAUAUGAGUAUUAAACUGACCGCUAUAUAAGUCAGGUGGAUGUAGCGUCUUUACCCAUACUUCAUUGCCCUUUUGUCACUAAACUUUCACAAUGUCCUAGU